AUUGAACGCUGGCGGCAUGCUUUACACAUGCAAGUCGAACGGCAGCGCGGGCUUCGGCCUGGCGGCGAGUGGCGAACGGGUGAGUAAUGCAUCGGAACGUGCCCAGUAGUGGGGGAUAGCCCGGCGAAAGCCGGAUUAAUACCGCAUACGACCUGAGGGUGAAAGCGGGGGACCGAAAGGCCUCGCGCUAUUGGAGCGGCCGAUGUCGGAUUAGCUAGUUGGUGGGGUAAAGGCUUACCAAGGCGACGAUCCGUAGCUGGUCUGAGAGGACGACCAGCCACACUGGGACUGAGACACGGCCCAGACUCCUGCGGGAGGCAGCAGUGGGGAAUUUUGGACAAAGGGGGCAACCCUGAUCCAGCCAUGCCGCGUGCGGGAAGAAGGCCUUCGGGUUGUAAACCGCUUUUGUUCGGGAAGAAAUCCUCUGGGCUAAUACCCCGGGGGGAUGACGGUACCGGAAGAAUAAGCACCGGCUAACUACGUG
rnacentral:rRNA from 1 species